rnacentral:rRNA from 1 species
CCUACGGGUGGCAGCAGUGGGGAAUAUUGGACAAUGGGGGCAACCCUGAUCCAGCCAUGCCGCGUGUGUGAAGAAGGCCCUCGGGUUGUAAAGCACUUUCAGUGAGGAAGAACGCCUGGUGGUUAAUACCCAUCAGGAAAGAGAUCACUCACAGAAGAAGCACCGGCUAACUCCGUGCCAGCAGCCGCGGUAAUACGGAGGGUGCGAGCGUUAAUCGGAAUUACUGGGCGUAAAGCGCGCGUAGGUGGCUUGAUAAGCCGGUUGUGAAAGCCCCGGGCUCAACCUGGGAACGGCAUCCGGAACUGUCAAGCUAGAGUGCAGGAGAGGAAGGUAGAAUUCCCGGUGUAGCGGUGAAAUGCGUAGAGAUCGGGAGGAAUACCAGUGGCGAAGGCGGCCUUCUGGACUGACACUGACACUGAGGUGCGAAAGCGUGGGUAGCAAACAGGAUUAGAUACCCCUGUAGUC